AGAGAGAGAGAACCCGAAUGAACCCAGUGACGAUCGGAGACCCGAUCUUUGUUGGGUCGUCUCCGAUGGAGCCAGAGCACCCGACGGACCAAGACCCGAUUUCCGACGAGUAGAGGCACGACUUCCGGUGGGUCGUUGGCCGGUUAAGCUGGGGGUGAUUUCCGGCGGUUCUAGCCGGAAAUCCGGUGACUUCUAGUGGCGAUUUUCCGGUGAGCCAGGAUUGCGAUUUUCCGAUGGUUUUCCCUUAGCUUUAAACAGAUAUUCGCUAGUAUGGUGUUGAUCAGUUUGGGUAUUCCGAUGGGGAUGGACUUGGAAUUGAUUUUGGGUGUUUUUCUGGUGGCCGUGUGUGGUGUUCGACCGGUUGCUAGGCUGGGUAUUUUUCGGUUGAGCUCUCGGUGGUUUAGCCAAAUCCCAUGUUCCUUGAUGAGCUGUGGUGCUCAUUGUUUCGGUAGAUUUUUAAAAUACCCAGCAAGGAUCCCCUUGUGCGGAUUCAAUUGAUUGUGUGUGUGUUAUGGUGUAAUUCGGUUUUGUAGCCCUUUUUAGCCAAUUCUGAAUUUGGGAAUUAGUAUUUUGUAUUUCUUGUGUGUUGAUUUUAGCCUUACACUAAUUUGUGGAGUUGUUACUGAGUUUUGGCCGGUUAUGAGAAUUGGUGAUUAAUUGUGUUAUGGAAAUUUGAGUUUUGGGAGGUUUCAGUUA